AUGUAAGUUUUUGCGUGGGUGUUUAUUUAUUUUGAUAAUUUAUAAAUUUUAUUAUAUCCUCAGUAACUAGUUUUAUUAAUUAAGGAAACUUAGAUAUAGUUAUACUUUUUAGUAUUGGCUAAAUUUGUGCCAGCAGCCGCGGUUACACGAAUAAUACAAACAAUUUUUUCGGGUUAAGUUAAGUUUUAUUUAAAAGUUAUUAUAAAUUUAUUAGGUGAAAUUUUAAAUUUAUUUAAUUUUAUUAAUUAUCUGUUUGAUACUUGUAAAUUUUAUUUAUAAACUAGGAUUAGAUACCCUAUUAUUUAAAAUGUAAAUUGUUACCUAGGUAGUAGUAGUUAUGAUCUUGAAACUUAAAAAAUUUGGCGGUAUUUUAGUCUAUUCAGAGGAACCUGUCCUGUAAUCGAUAGUCCACGUUGUACCUUACUUGAGCUUGUUUUGCAGUUUAUAUACCGUCGUUAUCAGAAUAUUUUAUUAGAACAAUAAUUUUCAAUAAUUUAUAUUAUGACUUAUAUCAGAUCAAGGUGUAGCUUAUGCUUUAGUAGAGAUGGGUUACAAUAAUGUUAUUUAUAUGGAUUUAAAAGUGAAAAUUUUGAUGAAAGUGGAUUUGAUAGUAAAGUUAUACAUUUUAUUAAUUUGGUUUUAGCUCUAAAAUAUGCACACAUCGCCCGUCGCUCUUAUUACUAAGAUAAGAUAAGUCGUAACAUAGUAGAUGUA
rnacentral:rRNA from 1 species